AAUGAACGCUGGCGGCAUGCCUUACACAUGCAAGUCGAACGGCAGCAUGACCUAGCUUGCUUGGUUGAUGGCGAGUGGCGAACGGGUGAGUAAUGCAUCGGAACGUGCCUUUUAGUGGGGGAUAACGUAGCGAAAGUUACGCUAAUACCGCAUAUUCUCUGAGGAGGAAAGCAGGGGACCUUCGGGCCUUGCGCUAGAAGAGCGGCCGAUGUCGGAUUAGCUAGUUGGUGAGGUAAAGGCUCACCAAGGCAACGAUCCGUAGCGGGUCUGAGAGGAUGAUCCGCCACACUGGGACUGGGCCACGGCCCAGACUCCUACGGGAGGCAGCAGUGGGGAAUUUUGGACAAUGGGCGCAAGCCUGAUCCAGCCAUGCCGCGUGAGUGAAGAAGGCCUUCGGGUUGUAAAGCUCUUUCGGCUGGGAAGAAAUCGCACCCUCUAAUACAGGGUGUGGAUGACGGUACCAGCAGAAGAAGCACCGGCUAACUACGUG
rnacentral:rRNA from 1 species